UAAUGUAUAACUUCAAUGCAAACUAACCAGAGAAUAAGAAUAUUAAUAAAUAGAAAAGACAGUUAAACCACUCUAACAAUAGGUUCUUAAUAAUAAGAAGAUAAAAUAAGAUUUCUGAUUAGGGCAAAAUGUCCUUUGCUCUUUUCCCUUUUAGCACAAAGUGACUUUAAAAUCAUAUUCAGCAAAAUCAGACAUUAAAGGCCUUCUAAUGCAAUAAUCUUAUGAAAUAUUUGUUGUACUAAGAACUUUUGAAAAAGUAAUUAAUAAAGAAAGAAAAUUUGGCAAUUAACUAAAAUAAUGAACCACAAUUUCCCCAAAGAAUAGUUGCAGCAAUGCGCAUCCAGUGUGAGGUGGG
rnacentral:misc_RNA from 1 species